AGCUCCAAUAGCGUAUAUUAAAGUUGCUGCAGUUAAAAAGCUCGUAGUUGCAUUUCCGAGGCAAGGGAUUAGUCCGACCUUUGGUGGGUAUUUAAUCCUCUUGCCUCGUCCUUGAGUGGUGCUUCUUGGUAUUAAGUUAUCGAGGAGAUAGCCGCUCAUCGUUUACUGUGAGAAAAUUAGAGUGUUCAAAGCAGGCUUAUGCCGUUGAAUAUAUUAGCAUGGAAUAAUAAGAUAGGACCUCGGUACUAUUUUGUUGGUUUGAGAACCAAGGUAAUGAUGAAUAGGGACAGUUGGGAGUAUUCGUAUUCAGUUGUCAGAGGUGAAAUUCUUAGAUUUACGGAAGACGGACUACUGCGAAAGCAUUUACCAAGGAUGUUUUCA
rnacentral:rRNA from 1 species